UUGAAUUUUCUAAAACAUAAUAACUGUGUUGAAAUAAUAUUUUGUAUCAAAAAUAUACAAACUAAAAUAAUGCAACAGUGAAGUGCUUAUUAGGCAACAAAAGAAAAACACGGUUAUUCCACCAAUAUAAAAAACAUACGAAUAUUCCUAUACAAUAAUUCCAGAAAAACGAAUACAAGACAGCGUAAAUCUUUUAAAAAAUUAUUUGCUAAAGAAAGAAGCGACUUCCAACAAUUAUACUUAAAACAUAAACUACAGUGCAUAAACAAAACAAAAAAAAAAAAAAAAAAAAAAAAAAAAAAAAAAAAAAAAAAAAAAAAAAAAAAAAAAAAAAAAAAAAAAAAGCAAACGAAAGUGAGUGCAUAAAGAGUUAAAGCCAACAACAUAAAAUAAUAACACAAAAUUGUCAAUUGUAAUAUGUGCAGUGGAAAAUAUUUUUAAUUAAUACAAAUUGUUUGACGAAAGAAAUCACGACCUUUGACUUAAUACAGUCUCCGAUAAUUUUAGUUUUAAUAUCAAAGUGAAAUUUCAAGGGGUGUGAGUGCCACCCUCAAUAACAUCCACGCGUUACAAAUUUGAACUAAAAAGUUUAUCAACUCAGCGAAUAACCUCCAGUGAACGAAAUGCAUCAACCACGCUAUAGUCCAGCACCUCCUCCACAACAAUUGGGAAUGCGACCACCGACGCAGUUGCCGCCACCGCGUCCUCAAACUU